GCCGUAUCACUGUUGUCCUCUUUAGGACCCAUCUGGGCAGACAUGAAGAGACUAUCAGUGACCUACCAAAGAAAAUAUAUUGCCUGUUCUUUGAAUGCCUGUCACAAAGCAAGGGAACCCUGACCUUUUGA